AAUCGCCGAGCUGGAGAGAGAUCCGCAGGGAUCCGCCGAAGGGGCACGCGGACUCGUCCGCUGAACUCUCAGGCAAAAGGACAGCGGGAGCGGC
rfam:Stenotrophomonas chelatiphaga strain DSM 21508 contig_12, whole genome shotgun sequence.